rnacentral:RNase_P_RNA from 2 species
CGGGCAGGCCGAGACGAUCGCGGGCGCCAACAGUACGAAAGUACGGCGCAUGAGGAAAGUCCGGGCUCCACAGGACAGGGUGCCGGGCAGUUCCCGGUGAAGGCAACUUUAAGGAAAGUGCAACAGAAAAGGAAACCGCCCCACAAGGGUAAGGAUGAAAAGGCGAGGUAAGAGCUCACCGGCGGUGUGGAGACAUACCGGCCUUGUAAACCCCAUCCGGAGCAACGUCGUGGAAAGGCAUAUCGUGGUCCGCGAGCCUUAGGAGACGGCUUGAACGUAUUAGAGAUAUUACGUCUAGAUAGAUGAUCGUCACAUACAGAACCCGGCUUACCGGUCUGCACGGAAA